rnacentral:lncRNA from 1 species
AUGCGCGGCGGGGCCGGCGGGGGGGGGCGGCCUGGGGCGCGCAGGGGGAGCGCAGCGGCGGGGAGCAAGGCCGGGCCGGGCGGCGUCGGCGGGGGCAGCCCUCGGCCCGGCCGCGCUUACCGGCUCCGCGGGGCCCGAGCACCAUCGCCGCCGCCGCCGCACACAAAGGCCCCGGCCCGCCGUGCCCGGCCCGACGAGGAGGCGGCGCCGCCGGCCGCGGCCAGACUCUCCAUCCGCCGCGCCGCUCGCCGCGCCGGCCCGGGCAGCCCCCGCCGCCCGGCCCGCAGCGCCCCCCGCCGUCCCGGAGGAGGCAGCGCCCCCCGCCGCUCGGCCGCAGCGCCCCCCGCCGCCCGGGAGGAGGCAGCGCCCCCCCACGGCGGGGCCGGGAGCCCAGGGGGCGGCGCCGCGGCCCCACACUCCGCCGCCCCCAGCUGCGCGGCCCGGCCCCCGCGCGCCCCGGGACCCCCGCCCGGCCCCGCCUCCCCCACCCCGCGCGCCCCGGGACCCCCGCCCGGCUCCGCCUCCCCCCACCCCGCGCACCCGGGGACCCCCGCCCGGCCCCGCCUCCCCCCCCACCCCCCUCGCGCACCCGGGGACCCCCGCCCGGCCCCGCCUCCCCCUCCACCCCCCGCGCACCCGGGGACCCCCGCCCGGCCCCGCCUCCCCCCCACCCCCCGCGCACCCGGGGACCCCGCCCGGCCCCGCCUCCCCCCCACCCCCCGCGCACCCGGGGACCCCCGCCCGGCCCCGCCUCCCCCCCACCCCCCGCGCACCCGGGGACCCCCGCCCGGCCCCGCCUCCCCCCCACCCCCCGCGCACCCGGGGACCCCCGCCCGGCCCCGCCUCCCCCCCACCCCCCGCGCGCCCCGGGCCCCCCGCCCGGCCCCGCCUCCCCCCCACCCCCCGCGCACCCGGGGACCCCCGCCCGGCCCCGCCUCCCAUCCGGCACCCGGGGACCCCGGCCUCGCCCCCUUCCCCUGCCCCCCAUCCCCACCCCCACCCCGGCCCCGGCCCGGCCUCGCCACCGCGGGGACCUACCUUCCCACCCGUCGCGCUCUGAUCUACCAGGCGGCGGCCCUUCCCUCCUGA